GGGGCCGACCUGGUUUCGACGCAGGUUCGGAGUUGGUUCAGGGCAUGCCGAGCGCCAGUUAGCUCGUAAAUCCAUCUGGAAACGCAUUAACUGCAAACGACUCGUCUUACGACGUCAAACUCGCCGCUUAAAACCGGUGAGCUUCGCAACAGCUUGUCUAUGGGCUGGGCUUGAGGGGCAACCCGAGAGCUGCGAAGUCAUACACAUAGGCUCGGUCUGAGCUGGGUCACUCAACACAGACCUAAAUCAAGUGACUCGGGGUGAGGGUAGCGUGCUGCUGCGCGACCACCGUCCUCAAAUUCAAAUCAGACAGCUACGCAUGUAGAACUGGCCGGCAAAGGCUUGCGGACGGGGGUUCGAUUCCCCCCGGG
rnacentral:tmRNA from 1 species